CCUACGGGAGGCUGCAGUGAGGAAUAUUGGUCAAUGGACGAGAGUCUGAACCAGCCAAGUAGCGUGAAGGAUGACUGCCCUAUGGGUUGUAAACUUCUUUUAUAUGGGAAUAAAAUGUUCCACGUGUGUGAUUUUGUAUGUACCAUAUGAAUAAGGAUCGGCUAACUCCGUGCCAGCAGCCGCGGUAAUACGGAGGAUCCGAGCGUUAUCCGGAUUUAUUUGGUUUAAAGGGAGCGUAGGUGGAUUGUUAAGUCAGUUGUGAAAGUUUGCGGCUCAACCGUAAAAUUGCAGUUGAAACUGGCAGUCUUGAGUACAGGAGAGGUGGGCGGAAUUCGAGGUGUAGCGGUGAAAUGCUUAGAUAUCACGAAGAACUCCGAUUGCGAAGGCAGCGCACUGGACUGCAACUGACACUGAGGCUCGAAAGUGUGGGUAUCAAACAGGAUUAGAUACCCGGGUAGUC
rnacentral:rRNA from 1 species